rnacentral:rRNA from 1 species
UGGGGAAUCUUGCACAAUGGGGGCAACCCUGAUGCAGCGACGCCGCGUGAGCGAUGAAGCCCUUCGGGGCGUAAAGCUCUUUCGACCGGAACGAUAAUGACGGUACCGGGAGAAGAAGCUGCGGCUAACUACGUGCCAGCAGCCGCGGUAAAACGUAGGAGGCGAGCGCUAUCCGGAUUUACUGGGCGUAAAGCGCACGCAGGCGGCUCUGUUAGUCGGACGUGAAAGCUCUCGGCUUAACCGGGAGAGGCCGUUCGAUACUGCGGGGCUUGAGGUAGGGAGAGGAAUGCGGAAUUCCCGGUGUAGUGGUGGAAUGCGUAGAUAUCGGGAGGAACACCUGUGGCGAAAGCGGCAUUCUGGCCCUCACCUGACGCUGAGGUGCGAAAGCGUGGGUAGCAAA